GAAUUUGGAGGAGGAGGAGGAGAACUGCACCUAGAAAAAAGAUUGAGACGGUUACAGAGAGAAAGGAAGUAACAUUUAGUGGGAAAGUUGUGCACAUGGAGACCACUGAUAACCUCCCAUCAAGACCAGCAGUGACAUCAGAGCAGGACUUUGGGACAGACAUCUGGCUCACAUCUUGAAGUAGAUUCGUCCAGCUGAGAGAAAAACAAGCUAUAUAAAACAAGAACAGAUUACUCUGUGCACAUUUCAAGGAAGAUCACUCUGAAAGCAGACUAGACUGAAUAAAGGCAGUUUGCAAAAAGGAGAAUAAAGGGCUCGCCCCCUGUUAAAGCAGAGACUUUUCUUGGGGAAAUAAAGCUGUUCUACCACCCCACCCGGUACAUAUGCUACUCCCAAACUGGUAACAAUCCUCAGUACCUCAUCC